rnacentral:rRNA from 1 species
UUAGUGGCGAACGGGUGAGUAACACGUGGGCAAUCUGCCCUGCACUCUGGGACAAGCCCUGGAAACGGGGUCUAAUACCGGAUAUCACUUCCACUCGCAUGGGUGGGGGUUGAAAGCUCCGGCGGUGCAGGAUGAGCCCGCGGCCUAUCAGCUUGUUGGUGAGGUAAUGGCUCACCAAGGCGACGACGGGUAGCCGGCCUGAGAGGGCGACCGGCCACACUGGGACUGAGACACGGCCCAGACUCCUACGGGAGGCAGCAGUGGGGAAUAUUGCACAAUGGGCGGAAGCCUGAUGCAGCGACGCCGCGUGAGGGAUGACGGCCUUCGGGUUGUAAACCUCUUUCAGCAGGGAAGAAGCGAAAGUGACGGUACCUGCAGAAGAAGCGCCGGCUAACUACGUGCCAGCAGCCGCGGUAAUACGUAGGGCGCAAGCGUUGUCCGGAAUUAUUGGGCGUAAAGAGCUCGUAGGCGGCUUGUCAC